rnacentral:rRNA from 1 species
CAGCAGCCGCGGUAAUACGAAGGGUGCAAGCGUUAAUCGGAAUUACUGGGCGUAAAGCGUGCGUAGGCGGUGAGUUAAGUCUGCUGUGAAAUCCCCGGGCUCAACCUGGGAAUGGCAGUGGAUACUGGCUCGCUAGAGUGUGUCAGAGGAUGGUGGAAUUCCCGGUGUAGCGGUGAAAUGCGUAGAGAUCGGGAGGAACAUCAGUGGCGAAGGCGGCCAUCUGGGACAACACUGACGCUGAGGCACGAAAGCGUGGGGAGCAAGCAGGAUUAGAUACCCCCGUAGUCCCUGUCUCUUAUAC